AGGAUGUGCAGAAAGAGAGGUACACAUCACCCACUCCAAGCCCUGGGGUCUAGAGGGAAGAGUCUUCAACCUCCAUGAGACACAGCCUCCCCCGAUGAAGAAGUAGGACUUCAAGGCUGGCGGAGGCUGCUGUCACAGCACCCACGAUGCCGCCUAUGAUGCCAGGAAUGCCAUGCAGAUUGUUAAUGCCACAUGUGUCCUGGAUGUGCAGCCGGGACUCCAGGAAUGGCUGGAGAGGGGAGCCUCAUCUGCAAGAUGGGUGUGGUGAUCCCCUUAGAGCUGUUGGCAGGGCAUGGUGAUCAGCACCCUCCAGGCCCAGGCAGUCAGAGCCACACCCCCAAUGCCCUCAUGCUCACC